rnacentral:rRNA from 1 species
UAGGGAAUCUUCGGCAAUGGACGGAAGUCUGACCGAGCAACGCCGCGUGAGUGAAGAAGGUUUUCGGAUCGUAAAGCUCUGUUGUAAGAGAAGAACGAGUGUGAGAGUGGAAAGUUCACACUGUGACGGUAUCUUACCAGAAAGGGACGGCUAACUACGUGCCAGCAGCCGCGGUAAUACGUAGGUCCCGAGCGUUGUCCGGACUUAUUGGGCGUAAAGCGAGCGCAGGCGGUUAGAUAAGUCUGAAGUUAAAGGCUGUGGCUUAACCAUAGUAGGCUUUGGAAACUGUUUAACUUGAGUGCAAGAGGGGAGAGUGGAAUUCCAUGUGUAGCGGUGAAAUGCGUAGAUAUAUGGAGGAACACCGGUGGCGAAAGCGGCUCUCUGGCUUGUAACUGACGCUGAGGCUCGAAAGCGUGGGGAGCAAACAGGAUUAGAUACCCUGGUAGUCCACGCUGUAAACGAUGAGUGCUAGGUGUUAGACCCUUUCCGGGGUUUAGUGCCGUAGCUAACGCAUUAAGCACUCCGCCUGGGGAGUACGACCGCAAGGUUG